GACGAACGCUGGCGGCGUGCUUAACACAUGCAAGUCGAGCGAUGAAGCACUUUCGGGUGUGGAUUAGCGGCGAACGGGUGAGGAACACGUGAGGAAUCUGCCUUCCACUCUGGGAUAACUCCGGGAAACCGGGGCUAAUACCGGAUACUUUCAACUGGCGGCAUCGCUGGUUGAAGAAAGUUUUUCGGUGGAAGAUGACCUCGCGGCCUAUCAGCUUGUUGGUGAGGUAAUGGCUCACCAAGGCGACGACGGGUAGCCGGCCUGAGAGGGCGACCGGCCACACUGGGACUGAGACACGGCCCAGACUCCUACGGGAGGCAGCAGUGGGGAAUAUUGGGCAAUGGAGGAAACUCUGACCCAGCGACGCCGCGUGAGGGAUGAAGGCCUUCGGGUUGUAAACCUCUUUCAGCAGGGAAUAAGCGAAAGUGAAGGUACCUGCAGAAGAAGCACCGGCUAACUAUGUGCCAGCCGCCGCCGUAA
rnacentral:rRNA from 1 species